UACGUAGGUGGCAAGCGUUGUCCGGAAUUAUUGGGCGUAAAGCGCGCGCAGGCGGUUCCUUAAGUCUGAUGUGAAAGCCCCCGGCUCAACCGGGGAGGGUCAUUGGAAACUGGGGAACUUGAGUGCAGAAGAGGAUAGUGGAAUUCCAAGUGUAGCGGUGAAAUGCGUAGAGAUUUGGAGGAACACCAGUGGCGAAGGCGACUAUCUGGUCUGUAACUGACACUGAGGCGCGAAAGCGUGGGGAGCAAACAGG
rnacentral:rRNA from 1 species